CCUCCAUUGCUCUAUGUUCUUUUCUUUCCUACAUUAUCGCAUAUGUAGGCUCCACGGGAACUUUUAAAAUCCAGUCCGAAGCCAAUGAAUAAAGUAUUGUUAUCUUUUCAAUUUCUUUAAAAUAAAUAAAUGUAACAUUAUGGUUAAAGUUACUUAUUAACACCAAUGAGGUAGGUUAGAACAUCUUUAAUAGAAGAACACAUGUUAGAAUAAAACUCUCAAUCUCUAUUUUUUUUUUCUAUUUUAGAGAUCUCUUUUAUAGAGAUGAGUUGGAGAUGGUCUUAGUGAUUAUAAUAUAUAAUCUCUCUUCUUAAAAAAAUCUAAGAUGUUUUUGGAUGAAAUCAUAAAUAUUUAGGAAGUUGCUUUUACUUAAAAAGUAUCAAUAAAAAUAUUGAUUAAAAUCAAUCUAACUAAUUAUAAAAUAAACUAUAAAAUGUAACUGGUUACACAAUUUUUAAUAAAAUUAAAAGUUAUUUAAGAAAUUAUAAAUAUUUUAUAUUUUGAAACAUCAAAAAUUCAUUUAAACAUCUUACAUUAUAAAAUAGAGUGAGUAUUAUUUAGUAUACAAAUUCAAACCUCAUUGAAAAAUGUUUAAAUUACAUUGUUUGAAUCUCACAUAGAUGAUAUACGGCCGAAAAACCUCAUAUUGACAACAGCUAUAUUAAAAAUACAUAUCAACGACAUGAAUCUAACGAGUCAACACAAUAAAGUUGUAUAUAGAAGACUUAAAAAUGGCAAAGGAAAUAGACGAAAUAAGAGGCUUUGAAUGGUGAUUGUCGUCCCGCCCCGCCCCGCAGUUAACAGUAACAAAAAUUUCUACAUAUACUAUAUAUCUAUAUAUUUUUAUAACUGUUAAAACCGCAGCACAGUUGAACCGCUUGUCCCGCACCACUCAAAUCGCAGUCACCAUUCGAAGCUAUUUAGUAAGUUCUUCUUCACUUUUAUAUAUAUGGAUUAUCAGGUUUAAACCGUAUCAACGAUAUGACUUCAGAUGAAGUGACUACAAACUUAAUACAGUAUUGAACAAUUUCUUUAAUAAUGAAAUUUUAAAAUAUUGUGUUCCAAAUAGAUUGUAUAUAUCAGCUAUUGUCCAUAUGCAUGCGAUAGAAAUCUUGUCCCUCGAUGCCGCCAGUAGUCGUGCCAUCGGCGUUAUGUACGUUCUGACAUCACCAAACUCAUUCAAAAGCCAUAAAAUAUUUACGUUAUGGCCUAUGGUCCUACGGAUACCAUAUAAUAUUAUGUGCAUACGUUGAGACUUACGCUAGAGAUUACGUGUAUUUAAGUUACUAUUUACAUUUAUAUGGGUUCGAGUUCCUAGGUUGUGUCAUGGAUAAACGUCCAUAAAUUGAUACAUAAUUCACCGAUACAUGUUAAAAUCAUGCAAGGUAUGACCGUAACUGCAAUAGCAGAUCCUGCCUUGUCGCAUAUGUUGUAAACACAUGGUCCAUCGUUCCUACUGUUUAGUUUAUUAGUUACAUAGGAAUUUGUCUUGUUUCAAAAAAAAAAACAAAAGAAAAAGGAAUUUGUCUAUAUUCCUCACGAAGUGCCGAAUAAUUACAGUGAUAUGCUAAAAAAGUUCACGAUACAAACCUACAAAUACUAAAAGAAAACCUCCAAAUAUUAGAUCAAUAAGUUCAUAUACAUUUUGAAAUCAUUUGAUUAUUUUCUUUAAGAAAAAAUGACAUAUAACGAAAAAUGGGAAUAAAAAUAUGAUAGAAUAGAAUUAACAUUUAGACCAUCUCCAAUCACACUCUAUAAUUUCCUCUAUAUUUCACUCUAAAAUAGAGUAACUCUAUUAUAGAGUUGAAUUUGUUCCAAUGAUUCACUCUAUAAUAGAGUUACUCUAUAAUAGAGUGAAAUAUAGAGUAUUUUUGUUUUUUCACUCUAUAUUUGGAGUAAAAAAAUAGGAUUACUCUAUAUUUCACUCUAUUAUAGAGUAACUCUAUUAUAGAGUGAACCAUUGGAGCAAAUUUAACUCUAUAAUAGAGUUACUCUAUUUUAGUGUAAAUUAUAGAGGAAAAAAUAGAGUGCCUUUGGAGAUGCUCUUACCCCCGAAAAAUGAACAAAGAAAAGAGAUUAGGGUUUAGAGAGUGGGGGUGGUUUCCCGUGGCCAUGCAAAUGUGUCAGCUUCGUGUCACAGUCUUUGAUGGACACCGACACACGAAACUCAUGUGAACUGUUCUUUCUCUUUAUUUCUUUUCUCAUUGGUUUCUUUUUCACUUUCUCUUCUGUUCUCGAGAAAAUCAACCAAAAUAGACAAAGUCUGAAAGGCAUAUAACAUUGUUUUAACACAAAAACAUUAAUGUUUCGGUUUCCUCUAAAAAAAAUGGGCAAAAGGACAAGGAUAUUCAUUAAACAGAACUUUAGAAAAAUACUAAAAUAAAAAUAUGUUGAACUAGUUUUUCCAACCAUUUAUCGUACGAAUUUGACUAGGAAAAAUGAUUCAUCACCAUCAUCCGAUUUUUUUCCCCCAUGUAAUUAUAUAUACAUUUUCACUCUUAUGAAAUAAAAAAACUUAUGUCUUCGUUUAAUACAUUUCUUUGAAGAUCACAAUGACUUUUAAAUUUAAUCGUUUUGAAAAGUUGGCCGAGUAUUUGAUAAAAAAAAGAAAAAAAAAAGUUGGCCGAGUAUUACUUGAACUGAAAGACCGUUUGAUACGACAUACCUGGCACGACUAACAAUAAUUUGACAAAUCAAGUACCAACUAUACAUUUAUACUAUUUGAUUGAUUUGCUUUCUUCGUCAAAUUGACUGAUUUAACUCAAUGGACCGUUUUGGUAACGUAUAUUAAAAGCUGAACCUAGUAAGACUUUGUUCAAGAGCGUGUUCUCUUUAGAUGUAAUGAUAUUAGUUGUCCUUUGAUGGUGCUUAACUUUAUUCGUGCAAUAACCGGAUGAUCAGACAGAGGCAUUGAAUGAUUCCUACUUUCCCGGUUCAGUUACUUUCGGUGUAGAGAUAAUUGAAAAAGGAGAAGUUGUUGGUAACAUAUAUUUUUUUUUCUCUGGACCAAUUCUUGUUUCCAAGAGGGCUUAAAGUAUCGAGGCCACGACCUGUCACAUACAACACAAUAUUCCAUACUUCUGCAUAAUUUACGUAAUCUUUUUAUUUUGGUUACUUAUUUGACUUAUCCUCCUAGUUCCUUUCAUACUCCCUCAUUUCCUAGUUCCAUAAUCAUUCCAUCAAUUCAAUUUGUAUUUAUUUAAUUAUAAAAUGUAUUAAUCAAUUUAAUUUUAUAGGUCUACUUGGAAUUGUAACAAAGUUUCAAACAUUCAUACAUUAACAUGAAUAACUGGUAGUGACUUAUAAAGGAAAAAGGCAAAAAAUAAAGUAUUCUGUAAAAAGUCAAGAAUGAAGUUGAAAUGUAUAUAAAGGAAAAUAUUUAUUUUUCCUCUUUGUUUUCUGGAGCAACGUAAAACAAGGGAUUCUUUUUCUUUUGAAUUUUUGACAUGCAUUCCACUAAAUACUGUUUAAGUUUAAUUUUAAAACAUUAAAAUUAUUAAUACAUCGUUGUAUUUAUCAUCAUUAUAUAUAUAUUUAUCUAUCCAAAAGUUAAAU
rnacentral:lncRNA from 1 species